rnacentral:rRNA from 1 species
AUUGAACGCUGGCGGCAUGCCUUACACAUGCAAGUCGAACGGUAACGCGGGGCAACCUGGCGACGAGUGGCGAACGGGUGAGUAAUGCAUCGGAACGUGCCCAGUAGUGGGGGAUAGCCCGGCGAAAGCCGGAUUAAUACCGCAUACGACCUACGGGUGAAAGGGGGGGAUCGCAAGACCUCUCGCUAUUGGAGCGGCCGAUGUCAGAUUAGGUAGUUGGUGGGGUAAAGGCCUACCAAGCCGACGAUCUGUAGCUGGUCUGAGAGGACGACCAGCUACACUGGGACUGAGACACGGCCCAGACUCCUACGGGAGGCAGCAGUGGGGAAUUUUGGACAAUGGGCGCAAGCCUGAUCCAGCCAUGCCGCGUGCGGGAAGAAGGCCUUCGGGUUGUAAACCGCUUUUGUCAGGGAAGAAACGCGCUGAGCUAAUACCUCGGCGUAAUGACGGUACCUGAAGAAUAAGCACCGGCUAACUACGUGCCAGCAGCCGCCGUAAUAC